rnacentral:lncRNA from 1 species
UUUUUCUUGAGCUCCAGCACGAACCCAUGAACUUUCUCAGGGUCAGGAAGGGACUUGGACACGCUCUCUCGGAGCAAGCACCUCUUGGCCCACGCAACGAGCUUGGGGCACUCGGCCUCGAUGCUGAAACCCCCGCAAGUCUCGUACGCAUAGAACCAGCUGUAGAACGGGACGAGAGCCACGUCCACGAACCCAAAGGCCUGCCCUCCGAAGAAGGGCUUGUCCCCAAGCUCCCCUUCCAAAAGCUUGAGGCUCUCCACGAACUCCUUCUUCGCCGCCUCUUGCUCCUCUCCUUUCGUGGACCAUAUUUUCCGUCCAAGGUCAUAUAUCUGCAUUUCAAGAUGACACCACGGCCAUGUUUUAACACGUUCAAAAGCUCUUGUGUCGACAUGCUAAGUGUCGUGGAUUGACAAAAGAAGCGCUUACCUUCUUGUCAACGUAGUCAGCCCAGAAUCGGGCUUGAGCUCUCUCGUAAGGAUCGGACGGCAGCAGCGGCGACUUAUCGUGCCACACCUCGUCGAUAUACUGAACCGCGAUGAGAGACUCGCAGACGGGCUUCCCAUUGUGGAUGAGGACUGGGAUUUUUUUGUGGACGGGGUUCAUCGCCAGGAGCAGAGGGCUCUUGUUCUUCA